rnacentral:rRNA from 1 species
UACGGAAGGCAGCAGGGGGAAUAUUGCACAAUGGGCGCAAGCCUGAUGCAGCCAUGCCGCGUGUAUGAAGAAGGCCUUCGGGUUGUAAAGUACUUUCAGCGGGGAGGAAGGCGAUGCGGUUAAUAACCGCGUCGAUUGACGUUACCCGCAGAAGAAGCACCGGCUAACUCCGUGCCAGCAGCCGCGGUAAUACGGAGGGUGCAAGCGUUAAUCGGAAUUACUGGGCGUAAAGCGCACGCAGGCGGUCUGUUAAGUCAGAUGUGAAAUCCCCGGGCUUAACCUGGGAACUGCAUUUUGAAACUGGCAGGCUUGAGUCUUGUAGAGGGGGUAGAAUUCCAGGUGUAGCGGUGAAAUGCGUAGAGAUCUGGAGGAAUACCGGUGGCGAAGGCGGCCCCUGGGACAAAGACUGACGCUCAGGUGCGAAAGCGUGGGGAGCAAACGAGGAUUAGAUACC